rnacentral:rRNA from 1 species
AUUGAACGCUGGCGGCAUGCCUUACACAUGCAAGUCGAACGGCAGCGCGGACUUCGGUCUGGCGGCGAGUGGCGAACGGGUGAGUAAUACAUCGGAACGUACCCUGUUGUGGGGGAUAACUAGUCGAAAGAUUAGCUAAUACCGCAUACGACCUGAGGGUGAAAGUGGGGGACCGCAAGGCCUCACGCAGCAGGAGCGGCCGAUGUCUGAUUAGCUAGUUGGCGGGGUAAAGGCCCACCAAGGCGACGAUCAGUAGCUAGUCUGAGAGGACGAUCAGCCACACUGGGACUGAGACACGGCCCAGACUCCUACGGGAGGCAGCAGUGGGGAAUUUUGGACAAUGGGGGCAACCCUGAUCCAGCAAUGCCGCGUGUGUGAAGAAGGCCUUCGGGUUGUAAAGCACUUUUGUCCGGAAAGAAAUCGCGCUGGUUAAUACCUGGCGUGGAUGACGGUACCGGAAGAAUAAGCACCGGCUAACUACGUG